UACGUAGGGUGCAAGCGUUAAUCGGAAUUACUGGGCGUAAAGCGUGCGCAGGCGGUUCGCUAAGACCGAUGUGAAAUCCCCGGGCUUAACCUGGGAACUGCAUUGGUGACUGGCGGGCUAGAGUGUGGCAGAGGGGGGUAGAAUUCCACGUGUAGCAGUGAAAUGCGUAGAGAUGUAGAGGAAUACCGAUGGCGAAGGCAGCCCCCUGGGCUAACACUGACGCUCAUGCACGAAAGCGUGGGGAGCAAACAGG
rnacentral:rRNA from 1 species